ACUCCUACGGGAGGCAGCAGUGGGAAUAUUGGACAAUGGGGCAACCGUAGCAUCCAGCAAUGCCGCAGUGUGUGAAGAAGGCCUGCGGGUUGUAAAGCACUUUCGUUGGGAGGAUGGUGCGCAGUUCAAAUAGGGCUGCGUAUUGACGUUACCCAAAGAAGAAGCACCGGCUAACUCUGUGCCAGCAGCCGCGGUAAUACAGAGGGUGCAAGCGUUAAUCGGACUGACUGGGCGUAAAGGGCGUGUAGGCGGCCCGUUAAGUCGGGUGUGAAAUGGCAGGGCUUAACCUUGUCAGGUCACUCGAGACUGGCGAGCUAGAGAGCAGGAGAGGAAAGGGGAAUUUGCCGGUGUAGCGGUGAAAUGCGUAGAUAUCGGAAGGAACACCAGUGGCGAAGGCGCCUUUCUGGCCUACCUCCUGACGCUGAGGCGCGAAAGCGUGGGUAGCAAAC
rnacentral:rRNA from 1 species